UUUGUGGGGGAUAACGUAGGGAAACUUACGCUAAUACCGCAUACGACCCCGCUCUUAGCGGAACGGGGUGAAAGUGGGGGACCUUCGGGCCUCACGCAGAGAGAUGAGCCGACGCCGGAUUAGCUAGUUGGCGGGGUAAAGGCCCACCAAGGCGACGAUCCGUAGCUGGUCUGAGAGGAUGAUCAGCCACACUGGAACUGAGACACGGUCCAGACUCCUACGGGAGGCAGCAGUGGGGAAUAUUGGACAAUGGGCGCAAGCCUGAUCCAGCCAUGCCGCGUGUGUGAAGAAGGCCUUCGGGUUGUAAAGCACUUUUGUCCGGAAAGAAAUCCUUCGAGUUAAUACCUCGGAGGGAUGACGGUACCGGAAGAAUAAGCACCGGCUAACUUCGUGCCAGCAGCCGCGGUAAUACGAAGGGUGCAAGCGUUACUCGGAAUUACUGGGCGUAAAGCGUGCGUAGGUGGUUCGUUAAGUCUGAUGUGAAAGCCCUGGGCUCAACCUGGGAAUGGCAUUGGAUACUGGCGACCUAGAGUGCGGUAGAGGGGUGCGGAAUUCCCGGUGUAGCAGUGAAAUGCGUAGAUAUCGGGAGGAACAUCCGUGGCGAAGGCGGCACCCUGGACCAGCACUGACACUGAGGCACGAAAGCGUGGGGAGCAA
rnacentral:rRNA from 1 species